GAUGAACGCUGGCGGCGUGCUUAACACAUGCAAGUCGAACGAACCUUCGGGUUAGUGGCGGACGGGUGAGUAACGCGUGGGAAUCUGCCCUCAGGAGGGGGAUAACGGUUGGAAACGACCGCUAAUACCCCAUAUGCCGAGAGGUGAAAUGAAUUUCGCCUGAGGAUGAGCCCGCGUCUGAUUAGCUUGUUGGAGAGGUAAUGGCUCACCAAGGCAUCGAUCAGUAGCUGGUCUGAGAGGAUGAUCAGCCACACUGGGACUGAGACACGGCCCAGACUCCUACGGGAGGCAGCAGUGGGGAAUUUUCCGCAAUGGGCGAAAGCCUGACGGAGCAACGCCGCGUGAGGGACGAAGGCCUCUGGGCUGUAAACCUCUUUUCUCAAGGAAGAAGAUAUGACGGUACUUGAGGAAUAAGCCACGGCUAAUUCCGUGCCAGCAGCCGCGGUAAUACGGGAGUGGCAAGCGUUAUCCGGAAUUAUUGGGCGUAAAGCGUCCGCAGGCGGCCUUUCAAGUCUGCUGUUAAAGCGUGGAGCUUAACUCCAUCAUGGCAGUGGAAACUGUUUGGCUUGAGUAUGGUAGGGGCAGAGGGAAUUCCCGGUGUAGCGGUGAAAUGCGUAGAUAUCGGGAAGAACACCAGUGGCGAAGGCGCUCUGCUGGGCCAUUACUGACGCUCAUGGACGAAAGCCAGGGGAGCGAAAGGGAUUAGAUACCCCUGUAGUCCUGGCCGUAAACGAUGAACACUAGGUGUCGGGGGAAUCGACCCCUUCGGUGUCGUAGCUAACGCGUUAAGUGUUCCGCCUGGGGAGUACGCACGCAAGUGUGAAACUCAAAGGAAUUGACGGGGGCCCGCACAAGCGGUGGAGUAUGUGGUUUAAUUCGAUGCAACGCGAAGAACCUUACCAGGGCUUGACAUCCUGCGAACCUUUAAGAAAUUAGAGGGUGCCUUCGGGAACGCAGUGACAGGUGGUGCAUGGCUGUCGUCAGCUCGUGUCGUGAGAUGUUGGGUUAAGUCCCGCAACGAGCGCAACCCACGUUUUUAGUUGCCAGCAUCUAGUUGGGCACUCUAGAAAGACCGCCGGUGAUAAACCGGAGGAAGGUGUGGAUGACGUCAAGUCAUCAUGCCCCUUACGUCCUGGGCUACACACGUACUACAAUGCUACGGACAAAGGGCAGCAAACUCGCGAGAGCUAGCAAAUCCCAUAAACCGUGGCUCAGUUCAGAUCGUAGGCUGCAACUCGCCUACGUGAAGUAGGAAUCGCUAGUAAUCGCAGGUCAGCAUACUGCGGUGAAUACGUUCCCGGGCCUUGUACUCACCGCCCGUC
rnacentral:rRNA from 1 species